rnacentral:rRNA from 1 species
CUGAGAGACGGCUACCACAUCCAAGGAAGGCAGCGGGCGCGUAAAUUACCCAAUCCUGACACAGGGAGGUAGUGACAAUAAAUAACAAUGCCGGGCCUUUGUAGGUCUGGCAAUUGGAAUGAGAACAAACUAAACCUCUUAUUGAGGAUCAAUUGGAGGGCAAGUCUGGUGCCAGCAGCCGCGGUAAUUCCAGCUCCAAUAGCGUAUAUUAAAGUUGUUGCAGUUAAAAAGCUCGUAGUUGGACUUGUGGCAAGUGCUUAUCCCCCCUCACUUUGUGUUGUGGCAGAAAAAGCAUUUCCAUUCUUGGAAUUGAAGUUGUGUGGCAUUGAGUUGUCGUGCAGGGGAAGUCCAUCUUUUACUGUGAAAAAAUUAGAGUGUUCAAAGCAGGCCUGUGCCAUUGAAUAUAUUAGCAUGGAAUAAUGAGAUAGGAUCUUGGUACUAUUUUGUUGGUUUGUGCACCAAGGUAAUGAUUAAUAGGGACAGUUGGGGGUAUUUGUAUUCCAUUGUCAGAGGUGAAAUUUCUUGGAUCUCCUGGAAGAACGUACAACUGUGAAAGCAUUUAUGCAAGGAUGUUUUCAUUAAUCAAGAACGAAAGUUAGGGGAUCGAAGAUGAUUAGAUACCAUCGUAGUCAAUCCCUAGUGAAUUCCGGCCGCCUGCCAGUCGCCCAUAUGGGGAGAGCCCCCCACCGCGUUGGAUGC